rnacentral:rRNA from 1 species
GACGAACGCUGGCGGCGUGCUUAACACAUGCAAGUCGAACGGAAAGGCCCUGCUUUUGUGGGGUGCUCGAGUGGCGAACGGGUGAGUAACACGUGAGUAACCUGCCCUUGACUUUGGGAUAACUUCAGGAAACUGGGGCUAAUACCGGAUAGGAGCUCCUGCUGCAUGGUGGGGGCUGGAAAGUUUCGGCGGUUGGGGAUGGACUCGCGGCUUAUCAGCUUGUUGGUGGGGUAGUGGCUUACCAAGGCGUUGACGGGUAGCCGGCCUGGGAGGGUGACCGGCCACAUUGGGACUGGGAUGCGGCCCAGACUCCUACGGGAGGCAGCAGUGGGGAAUAUUGCACAAUGGGCGGAGGCCUGAUGCAGCAACGCCGCGUGCGGGAUGACGGCCUUCGGGUUGUAAACCGCUUUCGCCUGUGACGAAGCGUGAGUGACGGUAAUGGGUAAAGAAGCACCGGCUAACUACGUG